rnacentral:lncRNA from 1 species
AUCUUAACCUUAGGGAAUUUUGGAGCUUUGGAAUUGUUUUGGGAAUAAGUGUGGUCUCCUGGGGAUUCUGAUGAAUGGGCUAGUUGGUUCCUCUUCUUGUUUUUGGUUUUGUAAACAUGUUGUGUAUCUUGUCUCUUAGAGUUGUGUUCUAAAAAGAGAGAAAAGAAAAGAGACAAGAUUGAAAAAAAGAAAGAAAAAAAAUUUAUAGAAAAAUGAGAAAAAUUAAAAAAAUUGUGAAUAAAGGAGUCAGGAAGAGGAUGGAAUUAGAGGUUUGAUUGUGUUUGAAUGUGUUUACACUUGUUCCCCAUUGCUCCUCUAUUUCCUUUGGUUUGUAGCUUCUCAUCCAUAUUAUACAUUCCCUUAUCCUUGGUCCCAUUUCAUCCAUAAAGACCUUUUGAUUUGAAUAUGCAUAUGUGCUUGAGUGUUGAUAUUAUAGGCUUGCCAAGUCUAUUUGUGUUUGCUUUCUUGAGUGCAUUGA